rnacentral:rRNA from 1 species
GAUGAACGCUGGCGGCGUGCCUAAUACAUGCAAGUCGAGCGAACGGACGAGAAGCUUGCUUCUCUGAUGUUAGCGGCGGACGGGUGAGUAACACGUGGAUAACCUACCUAUAAGACUGGGAUAACUUCGGGAAACCGGAGCUAAUACCGGAUAAUAUUUUGAACCGCAUGGUUCAAAAGUGAAAGACGGUCUUGCUGUCACUUAUAGAUGGAUCCGCGCUGCAUUAGCUAGUUGGUAAGGUAACGGCUUACCAAGGCAACGAUGCAUAGCCGACCUGAGAGGGUGAUCGGCCACACUGGAACUGAGACACGGUCCAGACUCCUACGGGAGGCAGCAGUAGGGAAUCUUCCGCAAUGGGCGAAAGCCUGACGGAGCAACGCCGCGUGAGUGAUGAAGGUCUUCGGAUCGUAAAACUCUGUUAUUAGGGAAGAACAUAUGUGUAAGUAACUGUGCACAUCUUGACGGUACCUAAUCAGAAAGCCACGGCUAACUACUUG